ensembl:lncRNA FAM41AY1 family with sequence similarity 41 member A, Y-linked 1
AUAAAACCCAUCUAAAAUGACCUUCUGGGCUACUGACUGCUCACUAUCCCUGCGUGUCAACUCUUUAGCUGUGCACAAUUAUGCAAGAACAGCCCUCCUCACUUCCCUGAAAAGACCUGAAUGAAGCCAGGGUCUCAGGUUUGAGGUCAUAGAUCUGGUUCUGGAGGACAGAAGUUGAAGAUCAGAAUGCCAGCAUGGUCGAGCUCUAGGAGCUAUGAAAUAUCUGAGAUGAGCAAGUGAUUCACAAGGAGACAGAAGCAGUAUGACCUUUACCCUGUGACCCGGUUCAAUUAUUUCAGGCUCUCAUUAACCAGGCGAGCUCCUCUUUCUCUCAGAGCUGCAAACAAGGAAACUGAAUGUCACACCAGGUGGCCAGCAUUUCUGUGAAGGGCAGAAACCGGGGCAGCCAAACAGCUGGCAGAGGCCAGCUAGACAAAGACUCCCUUUUCUUACAGCUGGAAUGAGGGGUGGGGAGAUUUCAUGGUGUCCUGUACAGGUUGGAUGUUAAUCUGAUGUGGUGCUCUUGGAGAAGCUUGCCUGAGUCAGGUGCUUUCUCAUCCUGUGGUGUGUGCUUCCCCUUCAAGCUGCAGAAGUCCCUGAAGAGGCCCUGCGUGGCUGCUGUGGCUGCCCUGAGACUCGUUCUGCCUCCUCUUCCCUCCACAGCUCUCCCAGCUUCUACCCACAGCUGUGCUCCAGGUAAACAACCAGGGGCCUCCAGGGGUAGAGAACCUAGCCAGACAGGUUCUGCUGCCUGUAGACUUGAUGUCCUUCCCCCACAACAUGCCAUGCUUGCCAGGCUGGAAGGGGGUCUCCAGAUACUUGGGAAAUCUGGGCCUGUAGCUGGCAUAUGGAGAAGAGGCCUGGAAAAGCACUACUCCUGUCCAUGAAGCCCCCAGAUGGAACCAG